rnacentral:lncRNA from 1 species
GGUAGCUGGGUGAAUUGGAUUUUGGAAGGAUGCUUUGUGUCUUUGAAGUAUUUUCUGGCUAAAUACCAUUAAUCUUCAGAGUGAUUCAGUUCUUAAGAUGACAGUUUUCAAUCUCAACAGUUGCUAGUUGUAGAAAUGGCAGAACAGUAGGAGCAGUGAAGCUUUAAGCUAUUGUUCUUUUCCUUGGAGGAGCCUUGAAAGAAUGUACUCACAGACUUACCAAGGAUGAACAGUUUUUAAACAGAUGAUUAAGAUUUAAUUUCUUUUUCAUUGACAUCAAUCACCAAGAUAUAUCCUCUGCUCCUACCAUCUUGAAUCCCCCUGGAGAUAAACUCUAACAAGACAGGAUGAACUUUUAAGGACACACCUCCUCCUUCAAUCUCAGUUGUGAUUUAUCUUGUCAUUUGAAAUGCUGCUUGAUAAAUCACCUUGUGAAGAUGCAAUAUUUGAUGCUCUGCACCUCUCUGUUUUUAUGACUUUAAUAAAAUUUGAGGUUUUGCUGGGAAUUGCUUUUCUUUAGUGAAUUUCCUGAUGUGUUUGGAUUUCAAAUAUUUUCAUUUUGUCAAGUUAUAUGUGACAUUAUCCUGGUUCUUAUGAAUGACAUUAAAAUGAUUGUUCUUAGGUAAUGAAAAUAAUCCUAUUCAAAGAAUUAAUUUUGGAGAAAGUUAAAAAAAAAAAAUAAAGUAAAAAAUCCCAACCCAAAGCAUACAAAAAAUUGAAGCAACAUUUGGCUUUUUUGGAUAUAGUUUCCACUAUGGAGCAUCAGAGUAAUACUGAAGUGAUCAGUUGUCAGUCAUUACACCAGUGACACUGUUUCUAAUUUGAUUUAGCUUCAGAUUAAUUGAAACAGGCAGUAUUGAUUGCCACGAAAAGAACUGGAAGUAAUUUCAUAUGACAGAAGUCAAAUGGGAUGGUUUGGAAGAUGAGUCCAACUCUUACACAGACAUGCCUAUUUUCUGUUUUGUAUUUGCCCUUGAAGAAUUUGUUUUCUUUCUUGAAGAAAAGAGCCCUAUUUGCAUUUGUACAGAGAUGCUUCAUAGUUGAGCAUAUUAUGCAUGAUCCAAUCUACUGCAGUUUACAAUGGUUUUCUAGUCCUUGGUGGGUCUUGGGAUGCUAUCUUGAAAGAUCAUAUAUUUGAGUUAUCAUUUCUUUCUUAUCUCAGAGUUUAUCUUUUAUCUAUAAAGCCUAUAAACCUAUACAUUCCCACUUUCACUGGAAUGAAUCACCUCAUAUUAUGUCACUUGCUGCCUGCCAGAAAUUUCAGUCAGAAAUAAUCAAGAACUGUUUCCUGGAUCUAUUGAUUGGGCAAAAAAGCAUAUAGCAUUAGUACAUGUAAAUGAAUUGAUAUUGAAAAAAUAGGAACAUCACCUAACAUAAUUUUAUUUAGUUCCAUGAAUUGUUGUUUCUUUUCUGGAUCAAACAUGAAUUUUACGUAUGGCAGCCAGGAAGUUCACUGAUGCUUUUAUCUGGCUCAUCCUAAAUGAUUCUUUUCACUAGUUUUGUUUAGUGUUUGAAUCUAAAUUAAUAAGAAAAGGCUGAACUGGAUUUCACUUACUUCCUGGAAAUAAGGUCAAGGCAUGCGUAGAUGCAGGAAAUUGAGCUACAGGAUUUUAAUGAAAAGCUUUACCUGCAGAGUUAAUCUGUGCUAAGAAAUUUAAAGUGGGAAGGAGGAUUUCAUUUAUUUGCUAUACCAGUCUCUGCAGAAAUAAGAACAUAUACCAGGGCAAUAAAGCACUAGCACUGCUUUAUUCCCAAAGCUCUGCUCAGGUGCUCAAGAAUGUGGCAUUGCGCAAAGGUUUACAACACCUCAAAGUGACUCUCCCUGGAAGGAAGGACCCUGGCAUGUGUGCACACAAUCUGCCUGCUUACUUGUUCCACCAGUUUUCCACCAAAUUUUAGUUCUGGUUCCUACAGUACUGUGAGAGCGGGAGGAAUGGCUCAAAAUUCCAUGUUAGUUUCUGUGAAGAUAUUUCAUAUUUAACUUCUUAUGCUGCAGUCUUCAAGCAGCCUGAGCACUUUGAGUUUCAGUUAAGAUGCCUAUAGGGAUGUUUUUUUCUGGGUUGAAGUGUGGUCUAAAGCAUUUUAAUGUCCACGUAGAAGAAGCUUUUGUGCCAAAUGAAAAAUAAAUCACACUGAAUUGAUAUAUAUUCUAUAGCUGCUCCAACCUACCAGUCAGUGCUAGAAAAAGAUAUCCUGGGUUUUGGAAGGAUACUGGGGGUUUGCCAAGCAGCAGUUCCCUAAGGAGGAUUUCAUUUCUACUAAUGUGCUUUGUGGGGCUUGAUACAUCUUUUUUCCACUUCCAUUGUUUCCAAACAUGUUAUGUUCAUCUUCUAGGUUUCUUUUUAGGAAUCUUCACAGUGAUAUUCAUCGCUGGCUAGCCUGCACAGAUGGACAUGUAACUUCCCGUUAUAGGUCAGAUUGUAAGUAAAGUUUUUGUCAAGUUUCAGGGUUUAGCAACCCCCUAGGUUGAGGCAGACGGAGUCACUAUUGUUCUCGAGCUGGCUGCAACAUGAUGACCUCUCUUAAAUUUGGAACGGUGUUUUUUCGAAAACAAAUGUUUUCAAUUUUUUUAAAGGCAGGUUAAAUUCUGCUCCACAAUGUUUUCUGUAAUCGCUGGCCUAGUAGCAAGCCACUCGAAACUCUGCUUUUCCCCCAGCCAUUUUUGAAUCUGUCUCAAAGUACAGUGUUUUUCUAUAUAAUUUAUUUUUUGAUUUGGUUAUAUUAAUGGUCAAGUUGCAUAAUUAAAACAAGCAUCCUACUAAAGUUGCAGUCAUAUGCUCUUAACCCAUCCUCCUUUCAAAGUAGAGUAAGUGUGCAUAUCAUCCCACCAAGGUGUUGACAGAUGAGCUGUAGCAGUUGAGGUUACUUCCCCCAGGUGUCCAUUCUUUCCAGGAGGAGAGUUGGAGAGACAGAAUGUGUCUGUGAGCCUCAGGCUGUUCAGCAUGAGUCUGGAAGCCUGACUCCAACCCCUCAGAAGUGUAAAGCAAGCCAUCAGGGUUUGCACUGAAGUGGGAGAAUUGAGAAUACCUUCCCUCUUGCUGACUUUGCAGGCAGUGUGGCAGUCUUCCUACAGCCAUAGCUAACUACUUUAGUGUCUUCCACUGCCACAGACAAGUAUGGAUCAGAGACCUAGAUUCUUUUCAUGUAUUUGAAGUUCCACACGCCUUGAGAGGUUGUUCUGCCAGGACUUGGACCAAGGUCUUUGACACCUUCUCUUAGGAUGAUAGUGUUUCAUUUAUGACAGUUUUCAAGGACACUUACACCAUAUUAAACUGGAAACUCCUAUUAAUGCACAGUGCAAUUUUCAUAAGUGAGCAGAAGUUGGGGGAGAAAGAUUACUUAGUUUUAUAUCAAUUUACCUACUUUUAUAAUUUUUCUAGAUUACUGGGAAGAGAGCUGUUGAAGGUAGGAAUGCACAAGAUGUGACAAACAUGAAGUGUAUUAAUUGGGUUAAUGAAGUAAUAAGGCCUUAUUUUUUAUUUACUUAUUUCUGUGUAGCUAAAACUUUCUGCUUUUAAAGGUGAUUUCAAGGCUUUUUGCUUUUCUAAAUUUGUGUUUUGGAUAGAUUAUUAAAGAAUCUACCUUAUGUUUACUGAAAUGUGGAUGCUUUCUGCUUGACAAAUUAAACUGAAAUACAAAGGUGGUUCUUGUAGUAGACAAUUUGCUGUCUAAAGGAAGCAAACUGUCUUAAAAACAGUAAAGCUGGAAACAAGGGAUAAAACAGAUAAAAAAAACCAACCCAACCCAAACCCCACAUACAGCUUCCCAAACAAGAUAUAAAUCCUCUUAUUUUCUUCCUUCCCAAAGAAUCUUUCAUCUUUAGUACCUGUUACUGCCUAUUACUGUACUGUUUGCAAGCUGUCAAUUAUCAGGAAUCUUUUCCCCCAGUCUCUCACCAGUGCAUUUGGAAAAAUGAUCAAGAUACUUAAAAAAUUGAAAAGAAUUCCAAUAUAGAAAGUAGAUGAACUUUCCUGUUUGAAGCUGCAUAUCUGCAUCCUUUCCAGAUGUGGAUAGAUCAGUGUUGCUUUGAAAGACUGUUUUGCUGCAACCCUCUCUUCUUGCCUUUCAGAUUAUGUGCUUAUCAUGACUCAUGUCACAGUUCUUGAUUGAGAGGUCUGCUCUGCUGAUUACGUAGAGAAGUAGUCUAGAGCUCCUAAUACAUUUAAAUGACUUGUAAAUGACUCACCUAUUUUGUCUUUUGCUUCUACUGUUGUGUGGUACCUUCUUACUCAUAUGUCAAGGUGAGCUAUUUCCUUAUGUGCUAAAAAUGGGCCCACAUAAUCCCACAAAGUAUAAAUGUAUAAUGAGAGCAUGGCACUUAAGUAGCUACUGCAACUUUAUUCUAGGAUGUGUAUGGAUUUUCAUUAGACAAACAUCUCAAUUACCAAGUUUUUCCUUAAUUCUCUUCUUCUGCAUUAUCAUGCAAUUCUAUCAGAUCCAGAGGACAGCUAUUGACAGGAAUUAUGGGGCUGUCUUGAUCUUCACAGUGGGACCUUCUCUAGUGCGUCUCUUGUCAAAUUUUGUUUUUUGGUCCCUGUCAUGUCUGGACUGGUUCUUAGACUCUGCAAUAUUAUUUUGUGUUCUUCUAUGGCAUUAAGUCUUUUUGAGAGGAAGCUGACCUUCUUUCUCUGUGCUUGCUCAAUGUGAAAUUGUAGCAAUGGUAAAACAAUUUAGCUGAAAUGAUGCAGUGGGUUGUAGUCACUGAAGUGAGGCAUUUCUAGUCCUUUUUUUAUUCUUUCAUACCCUUUCUCUAUCUUUGGGCCCUACUCUGGGCUGGUGUAGUCUCAGGUAUUCCUUGUAACAGGAAUUUUUUUAUCUGGCUUUUUUAUGGCUUUACCAUAAGAUAAUUGAACACAAUAGUUCAGAAGAAAUAUGGUCAUUGCAUGUUUUGGGUUAGUUUCCUGUUGAAUUAAUGAGGUGAAUUAUUUUCCCACACAACUAUAAAAGCAUUAAGAGUUGUGAAUAAUUGUCUGAUAGAAAAACUAGUAGAGAUAUACUCCUUCCAAACCUCAUUGUUCUCUCUAUGUGUAAGUAACAUAGAUAAUGGCAUUUUUUCUAUUAGCAACAGUGUCCUCGUUUAACCCCAGCUGCCACCUCAGCCCACACAGCUGCUUGUUCUUUUUCUCCAGUGGGAUGGGGGAGAGAAUUGAAAUGGCAAAAGUGAGAUAUCCUUGAGAUAAAGACAGUUCAACAGAUAAAGAAAAAGUCGUGUGUGCAAACAGAGUAAAACAAGUGAUCCAUUCACCACUUCCCAUGGGCCAGCAGGUGCUCGGCCAUCCCCAGGAAAGCAGGGCUCCAUCACAUGUUUCUUGGGAAGACAAAUGCCAUCACUUCAAAUAUAUCUCUCAGUUCCUUCUUUCCCCCCAGCUUUGUAUGCUGAGCACGAUGCCAGUGGGGUCAGCUGUCCUGGCUGACCCUUCCCAGUUUCCUGUGUAUCCCCCAGACCACUCACUGGUAGGGCUGUGUGAGAAGCAGAAAAGGCCUCGGCUGUGUGUAAGCCCUGGUCAUCAAUAACAAAAUAAUUCCUAUAUUAUCAACACUGUUUCUGGCUCAAAAGCAAAACGAGACUUAGCCCCAUACUCUCUACUGUGGAGAAAAUUGCCUCUAUCCCAGCCAAAACCAGCACAAAAAUGAAGGUGCUCUCUUUUUGAUAUUGUUGGUUUUUUUUGGUGUUUGUUUUUUUUUUUUUAAUUUUGUUUUUAUUUGGGUUGGGGUUUUUUCCUUUGGCUUUAUUUUUGUCAGUGUGCUUUUUUAAAAUCCAGUUUAUUAGCAUCUAAUCAGAGAUAGGGUUUUACUUUCCCCUUUAUGAGCUACAUGCCUUGCCUUAGAUAAUUGCUUGUGUCUGUUAUUAGCUGAGUAAUAGAAGACUGUAACAUUGAUUUUAAUAGUUCCUUAUUCCCUGUGUGGACCUUGGGAGACUAAAAAGGCUAUGCUACUUGUGCAUAAAAAAAAGAAAAAAAUAUGAAUCAGUUUCAUGGUAUCAGAUCAAAACUGCAAAGAAUAUAUAUAUAUAUUUGCAGCAUUAGAUAGUUGUUUUCUUAAUGUAGCUUAAAUUUAUUUUAUGUAUAGUUCCCUGUAUUAAGAUUAAAAUUUUAUUU